rnacentral:rRNA from 1 species
UACAGGGGAUGCAAGUGUUAUCCGGAAUUAUUGGGUCUAAAGCGUCCGUAGCAGGUUUUGUAAAUUCCUUGUGAAAUUGCCAGGCUUAACUUGGCAGAGUGCAGGGAACACUGUAGAACUUGGGACCGGGAAGGGUCAGAGGUAUUCCUGAGGGAGCGGUAAAAUGCUAUAAUCUCAGGAGGACCACCGGUGGCGAAGGCGUCUGACUAGAACGGAUCCGACUGUGAGGGACGAAAGCCAGGGGAUCAAAACG